UCUAAUUUACCUAACUCUCUAAUAAAAUCCCCCCCUCUCCAAUUUCUAUUCAUAAUCAGAAACCAGAAGGUUUGAUUUUUAUGGGAAUUAAAAAGUUGAAUAGAAAUUGGAGAGGGGGGGAUUUUAUUAGAGAGUUAGGUAAAUUAG
rnacentral:miRNA from 1 species